rnacentral:lncRNA from 10 species
UGCCUCUGGAUUCAUCUGCAGUGGCUGGAACCCCGUUCUCCAGUUGUUCACCCCAGCAUUCUGAGGCCAGGACUGGGCUGCUUUACAUUUCAGAAAGGCAUGUUGGGGCUGGGAGAAAGCAGACUUGCCAUCUGGAAAAGCUGUCCCAGGCCUGUGCUUUCGGGACCUGAAGCCACAGCGCACUGCGUGCACCUUAGCCUUGCAUCGUGCAGCGUGGCUGCGAUCUUCAUUCCCAGCAACCCUCCUUCCUGGGCCUGGUGAUCACCGUCCUCUUCUGUAGCACCAGGGACCUUAGCAGAGCCCCUGUGUCCCGCGUCUGUCCAGUGCCUGCAAAAAGAGAACCAUGGGACAAAACCCCCAUUGCACAGAUGGGGAGGGCAGCCAGAGAAGGGACCAUUGACCUGGGUCACCCCGAGAGUUGAUGGCAGCCCUUACCACCUGCAUCGUGUGGUGUUUUGAUCUCCCGGAGGGCAGCUUACAAUCCCAGACUCUCCAAGUGACAGAGAGGGCCCAUUCUGUCCAAGUCCACAUGCCCCCCAAUUUACAGAUGAGGACCCUGAGGUCUGGAAAGAUGAGGUGACUUUUUGGAUGGCUCAAAGAGGAGCAAUGGAGUGACUGGGGAAGAACAAUUGGUUAAUCAAGAGGAGAAAAAGGAGAGAGAUUUGGAUACAGUGACACAGACUCUCAAGGAGAAGGCCCUAUGACCACAGAGACAGAGACUGGAGUGACGCAUCUAGAAGCCAAGGACCACCAAGGAUCGCAGAAACCAUGAGAAGCUGAAAUAGACAGGCAAGGAUUCUCCCCUAGAAACUUCAGAGAGAGCAUAGCCCUGUGGACAUCUUGAUUUUGGACUUCGAGCCUCCAGAACCAUGAGCGAAUAAAUUUCUGUUGUCUUACACCCU